UACGUAGGGGGCGAGCGUUGUCCGGAUUUAUUGGGCGUACAGAGCGUGUAGGCGGUUCGGUAAGUCUGUCGUGAAAUCCUGAGGCUCAACCUCGGGCGUGCGAUGGAUACUGCCGGGCUAGAGGAUGGUAGAGGCGAGUGGAAUUCCCGGUGUAGCGGUGAAAUGCGCAGAUAUCGGGAGGAACACCAAUGGCGAAGGCAGCUCGCUGGGACGUUACUGACGCUGAGACGCGAAAGCGUGGGGAGCAAACAGG
rnacentral:rRNA from 1 species